CAGAGAGUAGUUUAGAUUAAAAUGCCAGCUUUGGGAGUUGGUGAUGAAGGUUAAAUUCCUUUCUUUCUGA
rnacentral:tRNA from 1 species